rnacentral:rRNA from 1 species
AGAUUUAUCGGGAAGGGAUCGGCCCGCGUUGGAUUAGGUAGUUGGUGGGGUAAUGGCCUACCAAGCCGACAUCCAUAGCUGGUUUGAGAGGAUGAUCAGCCACACUGGGACUGAGACACGGCCCAGACUCCUACGGGAGGCAGCAGUGGGGAAUCUUAGACAAUGGGCGCAAGCCUGAUCUAGCCAUGCCGCGUGAGCGAUGAAGGCCUUAGGGUUGUAAAGCUCUUUCAGUGGGGAAGAUAAUGACUGUACCCACAGAAGAAGCCCCGGCUAACUCCUGCCAGCAGCCGCGGUAAUACGGAGGGGGCUAGCGUUGUUCGGAAUUACUGGGCGUAAAGCGCACGUAGGCGGACGGAAAAGUCAGAGGUGAAAUCCCAGGGCUCAACCUUGGAACUGCCUUUGAAACUUUCUGUCUUGAGGUCGAGAGAGGUGAGU